GAUGAACGCUGGCGGCGUGCCUAAUACAUGCAAGUCGAGCGAACAGAUGAGGAGCUUGCUCCUCUGACGUUAGCGGCGGACGGGUGAGUAACACGUGGAUAACCUACCUAUAAGACUGGGAUAACUUCGGGAAACCGGAGCUAAUACCGGAUAAUAUAUUGAACCGCAUGGUUCAAUAGUGAAAGACGGUUUUGCUGUCACUUAUAGAUGGAUCCGCGCCGCAUUAGCUAGUUGGUAAGGUAACGGCUUACCAAGGCAACGAUGCGUAGCCGACCUGAGAGGGUGGUCGGCCACACUGGAAGUGAGACACGGUCCAGACUCCUACGGGAGGCAGCAAUAGGGAAUCGUCCGCAAUGGGCGAAAGCCUGACGGAGCAACGCCGCGUGAGUGAUAGAGGUCUUCGGAUCGUAAAAACCUGUUAUUAGGGAAGAACAAAUGUGUAAGUAACUAUGCACGUCUUGACGGUACCUAAUCAGAAAGCCACGGCUAACUACGUG
rnacentral:rRNA from 1 species